GUUAGGAAUAUUGGACAAUGGGCGCAAGCCUGAUCCAGCCAUGCCGCGUGAGUGAUGAAGGCCUUCGGGUUGUAAAGCUCUUUAGCCGAUGAUUAUAAUGACUGUAGUCGGAAAAUAAGCCCCGGCUAACUUCGUGCCAGCAGCCGCGGUAAUACGAAGGGGGCGAGCGUUAUUCGGAAUCACUGGGCGUAAAGCGUGCGUAGGCGGUUUUGCAAGUUGGGAGUGAAAGCCCAGGGCUCAACCCUGGAAUUGCUCUCAAAACUGCAAGACUCGAAUUCGGGAGAGGAUAGCGGAAUUGUCAGUGUAGCAGUGAAAUGCGUAGAUAUUGACAGGAACACCAGUGGCGUAAGCGGCUAUCUGGACCGAUAUUGACGCUGAGGCACGAAAGCGUGGGGAUCAAACAGGAUUAGAAACCCGGGUAGUCC
rnacentral:rRNA from 1 species